UACGUAGGUGGCAAGCGUUGUCCGGAAUUAUUGGGGCGUAAAGCGCGCGCAGGCGGUCCUUUAAGUCUGAUGUGAAAGCCCACGGCUCAACCGUGGAGGGUCAUUGGAAACUGGGGGACUUGAGUACAGAAGAGAAGAGUGGAAUUCCACGUGUAGCGGUGAAAUGCGUAGGAGAUGUGGAGGAACACCAGUGGCGGAAGGCGACU
rnacentral:rRNA from 1 species